AAGCUGGAAUCGCUAGUAAUCGCGGAUCAGAAUGCCGCGGUGAAUACGUUCCCGGGUCUUGUACACACCGCCCGUCACACCAUGGGAGUCGGAAAUGCCCGAAGUCUGUGACCCAACCGCAAGGAGGGAGCAGCCGAAGGCAGGUCGGAUGACUGGGGUGAAGUCGUAACAAGGUACC
rnacentral:rRNA from 1 species